AGUGCGUGUGUGUCUGUGCGUCUGUGGUUAUCAUCCUCUAGGCACGGCACCAGGAGGCAAGUGUACACCCCCUUCAGUCAACCUACAGCGGUGUAGUUCUCCCCUCUCUCUUGAUACACGAAAGUUAAGUUGCAUCUAGUCAUCACUGUGUAUGCAAAUUGUGUAAUACAUUAGCAGGUGUCAUUCUCGCUAUUGAGUGUCUCUCUCUUCUCUCCUCCCUGGAUAGGUAUGGAGUUGCCAUAGCGCGCCGGUCUUCAGGUGGUGGAUUCCCUCACUUUUCCAUUGCUGUGUGCACUUGGGGUACGAGGAGAGAGCUCAAACUCCACUGGACAGCUAAACACUGUGGAACAAAGUGCUUCAAACACCAGUGACCAUGAUCCCACCACUGAUCAUGGCGAUGAGCUUCAGAUAUUGAGGGACAUGGUGGCCACUCAGAAGGCUGAGAUAACCAAGCUGACCGUACAACUACAGACAAAGGAUGUCCAGCUCCAACAACUUAGAGACAAACUCUCAUUCACACACUACUUUGGUGUUAAAACUAGAGUCUGUGCAUGAAAGUGAUGUGGUAGGCUAUUUCCAGUAGGCUACUGAGCUGGAUUUACCUAUGAGCAGUUUAAUACCUUGUAUGAGUUCAACAUUUCAAAUAAUCCAAGUACAGUGGCACACCAGACCGUCCUUUGUGUAGUCAGCUGUUGUUGACACUGAUGACAUUUAGACAGGUAUAUGUUUACAAAAGACUCAUUCAGAUUCCAUAUCAGUUUACAGAAUGUGAGCACAAUUUGUAAUCAGUCAACAUCAGUC